rnacentral:rRNA from 1 species
GACGAACCGAGCAAACGUUAUUCGGAAUCACUGGGCUUAAAGGGCGCGUAGGCGGGUACUCAAGUCUGUGGUGAAAUCCGGCAGCUUAACUGUCGAACUGCCGUGGAUAAUGGGUAUCUCGAGGAAGGUAGGGGCAUGCGGAACUAUUGGUGGAGCGGUGAAAUGCGUUGAUAUCAAUAGGAACUCCGGUGGCGAAGGCGGCAUGCUGGACCUUUUCUGACGCUGAGGCGCGAAAGCCAGGGGAGCAAACGGG